rnacentral:lncRNA from 1 species
CCAUAUUCACUUGACCACCCACCAUGCACUAAUAAUGGCCUACAAUUUCCAAAUUGAGGAGAAGCAACAAAAAUGGUGAAGAUUAUGAACACAAGGUGAACAAGGAUGUUCUUGUAAGAGAGUGCCAUGUAUAUGUUCUUUAGUAUAUUGUUGACACUGGGUUUCACUAAAUUUUUGUGUCAAUAUAUGAAGGAAAAAAUAUAAAAACCUUUUUGUAUAAUGAACUUUGU